rnacentral:sRNA from 2 species
GGCAGCCAUGUUUUCCCGUCUUGCAUGUGGGCUGGGGCAUCGCUUACUUGGUAUAUAUAUAUAUGUAAAUAUAUAUAUUCAAUGUAAGGGGGGGAGCAGGUAGAUCGAUAUAGCUAGCGAUUAUAUCUACUAUACAGAACGCAUCCCCAAACACGCUGCAUAGGCAAUUCACGCGGGGGGGUCGGGGAUGAUUUUAUGAUUAUUCCCUGCCGCUUCGUUGAGAUUCUACAAUCUUUGGCUUUUUUUUUUUUUUUACCCAGCUCCUCUCUUAGAUGCCUGAUGAUAAUGAACCGCCGUCCUCGGGAGAAAAGCAGACCAUGAUUCGGUUCACUCGACGACGGACAGGAGGUCUAACUCUGCCGACAAAGACACUAGACCGUUUCUCUGCGAUGGAUUCAACAGAGUCGGAGCCAGCGCCAGGGCUGCAGCCUCAGCAGCAAGAACCGCGGAGGGUAGACCGCGACCCGGCACGUGAAUACCCGCCGCAUCUCCACCCAUACCAAGUGUCGGGAGAGGUGCACCCCCGGCCCCCCUCAGGGGACCAGGGCAGCAGCAGCAACAGCAGUGGUAGUGGUAGCGAGAGCAGCAGCAGCAGCAACAAACGCCGAAAGCUACAUUCCGCAGCGCGCAAAAAGGAGCCGGGCAAAUUCCCCACCGCCCUACGAUCGCUGGCCACUCAAAGCGGCAGCGCUACCGCUUUUGCCGAUGUAGCAGUAUCAGCGAGGGCGGUCCCCGCCACCGCCGCCGCCGCUCCUGCUCCCGUUACCAGCACCGCAGGCAAUAGCCACGGCCCAACCGCCAGGACGGGUCAACUUGGCAGAGCCAGCACCAGCACCA